rnacentral:rRNA from 1 species
GACGAACGCUGGCGGCGUGCCUAAUACAUGCAAGUCGAACGCAGUGGGGACGGGUGAGUAACACGUGGGUAACCUCCCAUCAGAGGGGAUAACACUUGGAAACAGGUGCUAAACCGAUACUGAUUGAUGGACCCGCGGUGCAUUAGCUAGUUGGUGAGGUAACGGCUCACCAAGGCCACGAGGCAUAGCCGAACGGGGAGGUGGAUCGGCCGCACUGGGACUGAGACACGUCCCAGACUCCUACGGGAGGCAGCAUGAGGGAAUAUUCGGCAAUGGACGAAAGUCUGACCGAGCAACGCCGCGUGAGUGAAGAAGGUUUUCGGAUCGUAAAACUCUGUUGUUAGAGAAGCGGUAUCUAACCAGAAAGCCACGGCUAACUACGUGCCAGCAGCCGCGGUAAUUC